AGCACUGUACGGUAUCUGCAGCCAGCUGGUUCAUCAGCUGGUUUGUUCAUAAGUCAGUGCUAGAAGAACUCAACAUCUGGCAUCGUUGGUCUCCAUGCAGAUCGUGUUUGGAGUCCUGGUUUGAUUGUUGAAACAUCC